rnacentral:rRNA from 1 species
GACGUAGGAGACGAGCGUUAUCCGGAUUUACUGGGCGUAAAGCGCGUGCAGGCGGUUAGAUAAGUCACUUGUGAAAGCGCCCGGCUCAACUGGGCGAGGCCGUGUGAGACUGUCUAACUUGAGAGAGGUAGAGGCAAACGGAAUUCCGGGUGGAGUGGUGAAAUGCGUAGAGAUCCGGAGGAACACCAGUGGCGAAGGCGGUUUGCUGGGCCUACUCUGACGCUCAGACGCGACAGCAUGGGGAGCGAACGGG